rnacentral:pre_miRNA from 2 species
GUUGAGAGGAAUGUUGUCUGGCUCGAGGUCAUGAAGAAGAUCAUUAGAUUGAUUCAUCUUAAAGAAUGAAAACCCUAAAUGAUUCUCGGACCAGGCUUCAUUCCCCCCAAC